AAAGUGAAUAGUGAAAUCUGGUGGCUCAACCAUUCAGGCUAUUAUUCAAACUCACACACUCGAGAACAGCAGAGGUAACUGGAAUUUCUGAAGUAGGGGUAAUAUCCGUAGAUAUCAGAAGGAACACCAAUGGCGUAGGCAGGUUACUGGGCUGUUUCUGACACUGAGGCACGAAAGCGUGGGAGCGAACCGGAUUAGAUACCCGGGUAGUCCACGCCGUAAACGAUGGAUACUA
rnacentral:rRNA from 1 species